rnacentral:tRNA from 1 species
GGUUGUAGCUCAGUGGUAAAGUGCUUGCCUUGCAUGUGUGAGGCCAUGGGUUCUGUCCCCAGCACCA